AUCACCACCGGAGGAGCUUGAUCCAGCCAUCUUCUCAGGUAACACAGCUCAAAUGGUUAUAAAGGUACCACCUUUAAGGUUUUCUGAAUUUUUUUUUUAAUGGAUCUCUCUCACAGUAUCACGCCCUUUCUUCGGAAUCAGACCUAGUGCUCAGAUACCAUGUUUGAAAUGGUACCAGGCAUGUUGGUUGAGGUUGAUAAAGAUUGAAACUUUUAAUAAAAGGUUUGAAGAAAUCUGUGUUUUUCUAGAGAGAAAAGGAAGAGCAAGAGUCUGUGUAUUUUUCAUAUAUGAAGAAGAAAAGAAAAAUUACAAGGACUAUAUUUAUCACAGCUGGUCUAAAAACAGAUCCUACAUAUAGGGACCUAGAACUCCUCUCCGGCCAUUAAUGGUCAUCGGAGGAUAUCAUCCAUCCACUUGGAAGAAGAUGGGAAAGCUUAGUACAAUUAAAAAGACAAAAACACCAGCUGUAAUCUUUCUAAAACUAGAAAAAGAAACUAGCCGUUGAAUUUUAAUGGCUCCUUCUAAUUUAGGAAGGUCUUCAUUUCUUCACAUUUCUCAGCUCCCUUUCGAUUUCAUCUGCAGGUUUAGCUUCUGCAGGAUAACUCUAAAGCUAGGAGGCAGCUUAAUUCUCAACAAGCCAUGCAUUUAGAGCAGGCAAAACGAAGAAAGUCUUUGUGUAUGGAUUGAUGGUAGCCACUUCCCCUGAAGAGAAGAGGAUGAUGAUUAUUUCCGAAAAUGAUCCAACCUUUCUCUGGGUGGUGAUCGUUUAAGGAUGCGCGAACUUGAAUGGCUAUGAGUGUGCUCGAUAGCAACCAAAUUUGGGGGCAAUGAGGAUAGGGGUUGAAGUUGAAGAGAAGUGUGAGAUAGAUUCCGAGCUUAUUCAGUUGAAGAUGGAGACAAAUAUGGAAUUCUGGAUGCCGAGGAGAAGAAGCCUGACAAUAUAAGGAUCUUGAACCCGAAGAAGACAACAAAUGUCAUGCAGCUAUGUACUGGUGAAAUACGAGCAUCUGUAUUUCAAUGGAAAAUCAGGUGAAAUACAGGUACAGAGUGGUGCUGAAAAUUUUUCUCAUUAUGCUCCUAUGCCCAGUUGGUCGGGUGUAUAUGACAUGCAGUGAGCUCAGGGACACAAAUAGGUUAGUUCAUCCACGAUGCUAAGCCCUGUCUUGAAUGGUAUCUUGGAUGCCGCGAAAAGAACUUAUUACUAUUUAUUUGCAUGCCUGUGGAAAGGCCAGCGACAAUUUGUGGCGAUAUUCAUGGGCAAUUUCACUACCUUGCAGAGCUUUUUGAAUUGGAGCGUUUUCUUGCUUGCCAUUUUGAAUUAUUUCAAAUUAUGAAUGACUUUUUUUUUUUUUUUUACAACAUUGUUGAGUGGGUUUUGCUUAAGCUUUGGGGUUCUUAGUUUAUAUCAUAACAUUUGAUAUGGUUUCAUUUAUUUUGUCAACUUAGAUACUUUUCUAAAUAGAUUUUU